CCUACGGGUGGCAGCAGUGGGGAAUAUUGGACAAUGGGCGAAAGCCUGAUCCAGCCAUGCCGCGUGUGUGAAGAAGGCCUUCGGGUUGUAAAGCACUUUCAGUGGGGAAGAAAGCCUUGGGGCUAAUACCCUCGAGGAAGGACAUCACCCACAGAAGAAGCACCGGCUAACUCCGUGCCAGCAGCCGCGGUAAUACGGAGGGUGCGAGCGUUAAUCGGAAUUACUGGGCGUAAAGCGCGCGUAGGCGGUCUGAUAAGCCGGUUGUGAAAGCCCCGGGCUCAACCUGGGAACGGCAUCCGGAACUGUCAGGCUAGAGUGCAGGAGAGGAAGGUAGAAUUCCCGGGGUAGCGGUGAAAUGCGUAGAGAUCGGGAGGAAUACCAGUGGCGAAGGCGGUCUUCUGGACUGACACUGACGCUGAGGUGCGAAAGCGUGGGUAGCAAACAGGAUUAGAUACCCUAGUAGUC
rnacentral:rRNA from 1 species